rnacentral:rRNA from 1 species
GGACAGCCUUCUGAAAGGAAGAUUAAUACAAGAUGGCAUCAUGAGUCCGCAUGUUCACAUGAUUAAAGGUAUUCCGGUAGACGAUGGGGAUGCGUUCCAUUAGAUAGUAGGCGGGGUAACGGCCCACCUAGUCUUCGAUGGAUAGGGGUUCUGAGAGGAAGGUCCCCCACAUUGGAACUGAGACACGGUCCAAACUCCUACGGGAGGCAGCAUG